AUAAAGAGAAUCUUGUGGUUAGAGGAUGCCCCCUUCAGGUAGUGACCCUUCUUCUGCAACAUCGUGUUUAUUCAAGGUUGCUCAUUCCUGUUCGUCCAUGUAUGGAAUGUCUCUCGGACAGUCUGGGAGUUGGAGGGCUGAAAUUAAACUGAAACUACUAUGUGUACAGUCAGGGGUGGCUGACAAGGGGCUGAGGUUUAAAUACGACUUCUGAAAAGGGGCCUCCAUGUGUAGAAAUGUUCUAUCAUCCCUAAGAUUCAGCCACCCCAGGCGGGCACGGUGGCUCAAGCCUGUAAUCCCAGCACUUUGAGAGGCCGAGGCGGGUGGAUCACGAGGUCAAGAGAUCGAGACCAUCCUGGUCAACAUGGUGAAACCCCACAUCUACUAAAAAUAUUUUAAAAAUUAACCUGGGCAUGGUGGCAUGUGCCUGUAAUCCCAGCUACUCGGGAGGCUGAGGCAGGAGAAUUGCCUGAACCCAGGAGGCGGAGGUUGCGGUGAGCCGAGAUCGCACCAUUGCACUCCAGCCUGGGUAACAAGAGCGAAACUCCGUCUCAAAAAAAAAAAAAAAAAAAAAGAUUCAGCCCCCAGAGAGUCAUUCCUUCUGUAUCUGGAGAACAUGGUCUUCCAGGGCACAUGCUGAGGUGGCACUACACCUAGAGAAAUCAUGCCUGAAGGUGCCAUUACCAUAGCAGUGCCGUAAGAAGAGAAGUUAAUAUCAUGUGCACCUUACCUUCAUUAUCUUAGGCCAGGAACAGCGCUGAGCCCUUUAUGUGCAUUAUCUCAUUAUAUUCCAACAGCUUUUGGGGAAGGCAUGAUUAGCCUCAUUUUUAUACAUAAGGAAACUGUGCUUCAGGGAGAUGAAGAAACAUGACCAAAGUCAUGCAAUUAGUGGAUGGUGGACCUGGGCACAGUGCCAAAAGCUGGGUGGGUGAAAAGAAUAGAAAUUGAUUUUCUGACAGUUCUGGAGAUUAGACGUCCCGGAUCAAAGUCUCAGCAUGGGAAACCUACUGAAGAGAAACCUUCUGAAACCUGGGGGAAGGAAUCCUUCCUCGCCUCUCCCUGGCUUCCCGUGGGGGUCGCCAAUCCUUGGUGCUUACUGGCUUGCAGCCGCCUCGCUCCAGUCUUUGCCUCUGCUGUCACAUGGCCUCGUCUCUGUGUGCCUGUGUCUUCACCUGCCAUUCUUCUACCUCUCACAUGAUACUGGGACAGGGACAUCACUCAAUUUUUUUGCAGCAAAUUAAAGACCAAAU
rnacentral:lncRNA from 13 species